rnacentral:rRNA from 1 species
GAUGAACGCUGGCGGCGUGCUUAACACAUGCGAGUCGAACGGAAAGGCUCCUGCUUGCCGGGGUACUCGAGUGGCGAACGGGUGAGUAACACGUGGGUGAUCUGCCCUGCACUUCGGGAUAAGCCUGGGAAACUGGGUCUAAUACCGGAUAGGACCACAUUUUGGAUGGUGUGGUGGAAAGUUUUUCGGUGUGGGAUGAGCUCGCGGCCUAUCAGCUUGUUGGUGGGGUAAUGGCCUACCAAGGCGUCGACGGGUGGCCGGCCUGAGAGGGUGUACGGCCACAUUGGGACUGAGAUACGGCCCAGACUCCUACGGGAGGCAGCAGUGGGGAAUAUUGCACAAUGGGCGCAAGCCUGAUGCAGCGACGCCGCGUGGGGGAUGACGGCCUUCGGGUUGUAAACUCCUUUCGCUAGGGACGAAGCGUUUUUGUGACGGUACCUGGAGAAGAAGCACCGGCUAACUACGUG